GAUGAACGCUGGCGGCGUGCUUAACACAUGCAAGUCGAGCGAAGGGACAAAGCGGAAUUUUUCGAAAGGAAGCAAUGUUGACUUAGCGGCGGACGGGUGAGUAACGCGUGGAUAACCUGCCUCAUACAGGGGGAUAACAGUUAGAAAUGACUGCUAAUACCGCAUAAGCGCACAGGGGCGCAUGUCCUGGUGUGAAAAACUCCGGUGGUAUGAGAUGGAUCCGCGUCUGAUUAGCUAGUUGGCGGGGUAGAGGCCCACCAAGGCGACGAUCAGUAGCCGACCUGAGAGGGUGGCCGGCCACAUUGGGACUGAGACACGGCCCAA
rnacentral:rRNA from 1 species